rnacentral:rRNA from 1 species
UACGUAGGGUGCAAGCGUUGUCCGGAAUUAUUGGGCGUAAAGAGCUCGUAGGCGGCUUGUUGCGUCGACCGUGAAAACCCGUGGCUCAACUGCGGGCUUGCGGUCGAUACGGGCGGGCUAGAGUUCGGUAGGGGAGACUGGAAUUCCUGGUGUAGCGGUGAAAUGCGCAGAUAUCAGGAGGAACACCGGUGGCGAAGGCGGGUCUCUGGGCCGAUACUGACGCUGAGGAGCGAAAGCGUGGGGAGCGAACAGG